GAGGGGUUUACAAGAUCUGCUAACUCUUUAAUCUGGCAUUAAUAUCCGGCCCCC
rnacentral:tRNA from 1 species